GGUUCAGUGGCGUAGUGGUUAUCGCGUGUGCUUUACACGCACAAGGUCCCCGGUUCGAUCCCGGGCUGGACUA
rnacentral:tRNA from 1 species